GAGGGUUAUUCCAUUCGAGUCCUCUACUUCAAUCCUUCAUCCUCUAGCGAAUUUUCAGUAAGCACCAUCAAUCCCACCCUUUGCUCAGGUUCCACCAUUCUUCCUUCCUUGCAUACCACCAUGAUAGGCAUCCAAAGAGCUUGAGAACUCUUUAUCGAGCUGUGAAGGGAGCUCCACAUCUUCUUUGCCGUGGAAGCACAAAAAACUCUUAACCACUGCUAUGAUUUUUUAUGCUAAAUCAGCCGACGAAAGGCAUUAAUGGAUGAUGUAGCAGGUAUUCAAGUUACAGGUACCCACAAUCUACAUUUGCUAGGGUACUUCUAUUUAUCUCUUUCAUAUUACAAGGGUAUGUCUGCAACACAUUAAAAGGAGUGGGGGGUGUAACUAGAACAUGAGGAAGGGGGUGUCAGUUGAACAUUUAAAAAUAUGUAGGGGGUGUAAUCGGUACAACUUGAAAGAUCAUGGUAUAUUUUUUUAGUGAAUAUUUGUAUGCAUUUCAACUUCAACUGUGCUGGGCAUUUGGAAUAUACUUGGAAUAGGAAGCCUUUGGAAUGCUUCCAAUGCAAAAA